UGGUCCAACCACUUCCAGUUUGAGAUACAUUUCAGGUUACUGGGGCAAAAGGAAAAUGUAUUUUGCCAAAUCAAAAUAAUGCAUGUGAAUGUGGAUUAAUGACUUAAUGUACAAUGUAUUUUAAGGGAAUGUUUCAUUACACUGAGAUCUACAUGCAUAGCAAUAUAACUAUUUUACUCAAGAUGUUGUUGAAAUAUUCACCUCAGUC
rnacentral:lncRNA from 1 species